rnacentral:rRNA from 1 species
UCUUGUAGAGAUACGAGAGUGCCUUCGGGAAUUGUGAUACAGGUGCUGCAUGGCUGUCGUCAGCUCGUGUCGUGAGAUGUUGGGUUAAGUCCCGCAACGAGCGCAACCCUUGUCCUUAGUUACCAGCACUUCGGGUGGGAACUCUAAGGAUACUGCCAGUGACAAACUGGAGGAAGGCGGGGACGACGUCAAGUCAUCAUGGCCCUUACGACCAGGGCUACACACGUGCUACAAUGGUAGGUACAGAGGGCAGCUACACAGCGAUGUGAUGCGAAUCUCAAAAAGCCUAUCGUAGUCCAGAUUGGAGUCUGCAACUCGACUCCAUGAAGUAGGAAUCGCUAGUAAUCGCGGAUCAGAAUGCCGCGGUGAAUACGUUCCCGGGCCUUGUACACACCGCCCGUCACACCAUGGGAGUUGAUUGCACUAGAAGUGGUUAGCCUAACUUAGUGAGGGCGAUCACCACGGUGUGGUUGAUGACUGGGGUGAAGUCGUAACAAGGUAGCCGUAA